UCAGGCAUUUCAAUGAGAUGA
rnacentral:piRNA from 1 species